GGCAGCAGUGGGGAAUAUUGGACAAUGGGCGAAAGCCUGAUCCAGCCAUGCCGCGUGUGUGAAGAAGGUCUUCGGAUUGUAAAGCACUUUAAGUUGGGAGGAAGGGUUGUAGAUUAAUACUCUGCAAUUUUGACGUUACCGACAGAAUAAGCACCGGCUAACUUCGUGCCAGCAGCCGCG
rnacentral:rRNA from 1 species